CAGAGGGACCAGGAGAUGAACGUGCCAUGCUAAUAAAGGAAUAUGUGUGAAGGGCUACUUACAGAACCAGAAAUGACUCAAAGACAGCUGCAUCACCAAAGCCCACCCCAACAUAGGUGACAACUCAGAGAAGCCGGGAACCUGGAGCACACCGCACAGCCUGCACACAGCUUAACAGGUUGGAGACUGUCCUUUCCGACAAUUGUCACUUCAUCUGAUGGCCAAGAACGACAAGAAGAUGCAGAGAAAACCCAAAAGCUUCCAAGAAAGAACAAUCACGUAGAUUUCAUGGGAGGAAUAACCCAAGGAACCCGUGCUCUGGGUUUGUUAAGAAAGAAGUGUGAGUUUGUGGGGCUCAUGGCAUCCCCGCCUCAGGCUCCUGCCGCCACUGGGCACUGGGAUGGCCUUUGUGGAGCCCAGUUUGAGAACCAGAUUCUGCUUCCUGGCCUGCAGGCUCAGGCCCUUGGAGCUGUUCCAAGGCUUGCGUGGGGGAGAAGCAGCAACUGACCUGUUUUCACACGGCAAAGGAGCCUGGAAGCUUGUCACAGAUAUCCACAGGACUGAGUAGCUGGGUUCAGCUGGACUCCAUCU